AAAAAAAAUGGAAAAAACGUUCACUCUCAUUCAAACGGUGGCCACGGCCGGCGUCUUCUCCGCCGUUUCUUACUGGUACGGAUUCAUGUUUGGCAGAGAAUCGGCUCGUAAAGAACUGGGAGACUUGAUCGAAAGCCUUCGCCGCAAUAAUUCAAACUCCUCUUCUUCAUCAUCUCCCCCGCAUUCUUAAUCGGUAUUUCCCAGUUCUCUGACUUUGAGAAUUUUCUAUCAAAUGUGAUAUAACUGAUUGACAGCUUCGUUUUUUGUUUCUUAGUUGUAAGUGGGGGUUUAGUUAGAGGAAAGUUGGCUACUUUCCAAGGAAUUUAAUCAAUGGGAAGGAGAUUCCCACGUUUGGUAUGCCACCCACAUUCCCACGAAUGUGAUUUUACCACGGGGAUGUGGGAAAGUUAUGAAAUUUUUUGCAGUGGGAAUUUGGCAGGACAAGCUGGCUGGAAACGCUACUCUACCUUAUAGAGAAACUUGGUGAGAGAUGUCAGGAUCUAGGUGGUUGAUCUUGGUAAAUUGGUCAUUGUUUCGAAUACAUGGCUGAUGAUGCAGCAAGGAAAAGGAAAGUAUAUGGUGUCAUAUCUAAGAUUGAACGACUUACGGAGGAAGAGGCCAUAAAGCUGCAACAUGGAAGCAUCAAGGAGCUGUGAAUGAAUGACUUUCCUCCUCAAGUCUUGGAACUUGCCAAAACGAGGCAUAUCGGCAACAUAGUUAGGAGUGCUCCCUUGGACUUCUCUGGCUGUGUAUUUCAUGUGUUGUACUUUCUCUGUAGAAAAUUUUUGUAACGAUUCGACAUAUUGGGUUCAUUAUGUAAAACCUUUCUUCUAUGGUUGAAAGAAUUAUUGGAAACAAACUAAUUUAGGUGUACAAUUUCAAACAAAACACAUUAUGGAGCAGCUUAACAAUACAUAAUUGUGUUUGAUAAUAAGUGCCUUUGGCCAUUGUUAAGUUACUGAAUAGGUUUUUCAAAGUAGGGCAGGUUUUCAUGAUUCAACCAUAGUCUAUAACUUUUUCUUCUAUAAAUAAAUUAAAGAAAAUGAUCAAAUUUAUCACUCUGCUAUGUUGGGGUUUUAUAUUUACUGGUCACUGGUAAAUUAAAUAGUAAAUAUGAAG